GACGAACGCUGGCGGCGUGCCUAAUACAUGCAAGUAGAACGCUGAAGGAGGAGCUUGCUUCUCUGGAUGAGUUGCGAACGGGUGAGUAACGCGUAGGUAACCUGCCUGGUAGCGGGGGAUAACUAUUGGAAACGAUAGCUAAUACCGCAUAAGAGUAGAUGUUGCAUGACAUUUGCUUAAAAGGUGCAAUUGCAUCACUACCAGAUGGACCUGCGUUGUAUUAGCUAGUUGGUGGGGUAACGGCUCACCAAGGCGACGAUACAUAGCCGACCUGAGAGGGUGAUCGGCCACACUGGGACUGAGACACGGCCCAGACUCCUACGGGAGGCAGCAGUAGGGAAUCUUCGGCAAUGGACGGAAGUCUGACCGAGCAACGCCGCGUGAGUGAAGAAGGUUUUCGGAUCGUAAAGCUCUGUUGUAAGAGAAGAACGAGUGUGAGAGUGGAAAGUUCAC
rnacentral:rRNA from 1 species